UGAAUGUUGGGCUUGGGCUUUUUAGUCUUUAGGUCAUUAGUUCAGAGGCAAACCCCCCACGCACAUCAAACAUUUUCACAGCUCCCUUUUUUGCAGUAAACACUCUUAUAUUUUCACGGUUAACUCUCUCUUCCAAAGUCCAAACCCAAACCAUAGCCGCCACCACCUCUCUCUAGAAAUCUGGUUGCCACCACCUGUUGCAUCUUGGUUGCCAUCGAGACUUUGGAUGUACCUAAAGCAUCUCUUUUUCAUUGUGGGUAACUGGGUAUAAAUUGUUAAGAAUGACCGACUAAACCGAGCCGCACCGGUGCUCAAAUACCGCACCGAUGGACGCCGGAGAACCGAUCUCUAUUGACGAUGAACGGAGGUGGUGGAGAGGUAACCGAUCCCGAUGGUGCGGUGGCAAAUUUGCCCAAAAACCGCACUGGGUAAUUUAAGAGAUUCAGCUUCAGCCUUGUGAAGGACUAAAUCUCAAAGUCAAAGCCUUAAAGGGCUCCUGGGUAUUUUCUCAUACUAAUUGUGGAAGUGGACAUGAAAAUACAACACAUGCUUUAUGGUUUUGCCAACAUAUUCAUACGGUCUGGGAAUCGGUGUUUGGAUGAAUAAGGAAAGAUUACCUAGCGUUGUCAUCAUUUUCGGACUUGGUGUUGCUGGUCGAAAGGCAGGCGAAACAACUGGACCUCUUUGCUACAGUCGCAUGGUCAAUCUGGUGUCAGAGAAAUAAAAUAAGGUGUAAUGAACAAAGUUUGCCACUUGGGAAGAUUAUGGAAUCAGCUGCCUCACUCAUGACUGAAUUUCAGAAACACUACAACUCUGGUGUUCGUGUUCCACGGCAGCGAGAUGUAAAAUGGGAACCACCUACAGCUUCCAUGAUGUGGAAGACAAACUUCGAUGGGGCUAUGUUUUCAGAAUCUGAUCUGGCCUGAAUUGGGGUGGUAAUCAGAAACCAGGCGGGGUAGGUCAUGGUAGCAUUAUCGAAAAUAAUAACCAAACUCGCUUCAGCCUUGGCAGCGCGGAAGGCAGUCCAGUUUAUGCUUGAGUUGGGCUUUCAGCAAUCUGUGUAUGAAGGAGAUUAGGAGGUUAUCAUUAAGGCCCUUGACAAUGGAAAUUUUUCUUUGACCAGCGUUGGACACAUUGUAAAAGACAUUAGGUCCAUUUCAGGUUUGUUACAAACCAUGUCCUCUUAUGUAAGGAGGCAUGGGCCACAGAGGCAGGGCAACUCUUUGACCCAGGCCUUAACUCAGAG